GCUCUCCACCUCUUUUCCUCGUUUUCUCCCCAUAGCAAAUUGAUUUAACCUCAGUUGAGCAUUUAAUGAGUGUCCACUUUAAGCCAGGCAUUAUCCAAAACAGCACUGUACUAAGCUUUCAUUCUGGCCUCUGCUCUAGCACAGAACCCUCCUCUCACCCUCACAUUUAUACUUUGUGGCUUUGUACCCUGGGAAGUCUUGAGGAAGCCUUUGGUGACCGAAGCUGUACAGAUAUGAAGGGAUGGUCUCCAGCCAGAGGACUUCAGUCAUCUGCAUCCAUUAAAAUGUGUGUCCUGAUUGCGCUUCAUAACAAAUAUUCUCAGAAUGCCAGAGGCUAAAUGGAACUGUGCCAAGUGCUCCAUUACACCUGUGCAGCUGGCUAAGCUGCAGAACUGCUCAGGGCAAUCCUCAUGCUCUCACUGUGCUCUCAGCAAGAACACCUGGGAUUCUUCAGCCUUGCCAUGUGUGGAGAACAGCCCAAAAAUAGGCCUGCUAAGACUUCCAAGAUGGAUUGCUAGACUUUGUGAGUCACCUCUGAAACCAAAAGCUCUGUGCUUUGUGAUUUUUGUUUGCAUCAUUAGGAUGAGGAAUUUCAGCAAACCUAACCACAAUUACCUGUGACUAAUCUUAGCAGAUAUAAAAGCAAGUGUUUCCUCUUUCAAACCCACAUAAAUAUACAAAAGGCAAAUAAAACCUUGAAUUGGAUAACCCAUUCCCAGCUAUUCUUCAAUAAAAUAUUCAUAAAACAAAAACUUUGCAGUAUAAAUAUGGUAUUCUACUAAAAAUGCAAAAUAUAUUUCCCAACUUGGUGCAGCUUUGUAAAUAUACAUUAACAUUCAGUGAGAGUAAAGAAUAAUUACAUUUCAU
rnacentral:lncRNA from 1 species